rnacentral:rRNA from 1 species
GACGAACGUUGGCGGCGUGCUUAAUACAUGCAAGUCAACUGAAGCAGCGGUAGCAAUAUCGCUUUGGAGGUGGCGCACGGGUGAGUAACACGUAGGUAAUCUGCCUUCAGGUCUGGCAUAACUCCGGGAAACCGGGGCUAAUAGCAGAUGAUGCAGCGGCUCGACAUCGAGACAGUUGUUAAAGCUAUGGCGCCUGAAGAUGAGCCUGCGUCUGAUUAGCUAGUUGGCGAGGUCUCGGCCCACCAAGGCAACGAUCAGUAGCUGGUCUGAGAGGAUGAUCAGGAAAACAGCAACCGAGACACGGACCAGAAUCCUACCGGGAGCAGCAGUAAGGAAUAUAGUGAAAUGGAAGCAAUCCUGAAGCAGCAACGCAGCGAGCAAGACGAAGGGCUGUUGCUUGUAAACCGCUGUGGUGAGAGAAAAAAAUCCCAAUCAUUGGGGCAUGAUGGUAACUGAAAAGUAAGCCCCGGCUAACUACGUG